AUCUGAAUUGAAUCAGGGGACCAAUUAAAAGGUCUGAAUUGAUCUGAAGCUCUCCGAAUUGAUUUGGAAAAGAUUUGGAGAGCUUCAGAGAUUCGGGCAGUCCCCACUUGCUGCAGCCAGGAGGUAGACCCGGACUCGGAGCUGGCCACAUCAUAGGAGCAGGAGCCAAGGACUUUGAGUCCCCCUAUCAGGCCAAACUUGGUGGACCUUCAGGGAUCCAUAUGGACAAGCCUCUGUAGAACCUGGAACGGGGUUUAUGCUUUGUAGAGAUGGAGAGCUCUUCCCUAUAUAUUGAUGGGGGGACAUGAUCUGGACAAUUUUUGGGUGAGCAGAAAGUUACCUUAUGAGG